AUGUAAAUCAAAUAAAGUGAAAUUAAGAUUGUGAAUCCUCAUAAUUUUACCUUGCCAUUUGAACGUUUAAAUCUGAGAAUUUCAUUCAACUUCGGAUAAAAGUUGAUUAACAACUGGUCAUGGUUU